UCAAAAAAUAAAAUAAAAUAAAAUAGAAUAAAAGUAAAAGAAAUUUCUUAGGCAGAGAAUGAGGGCAAGGAUGUCCUCGGUAAGGUUUUCUUUUUAAUCAAAAGCAGCCCCCAGAUCAUUUCUUUUUCUAACAAAGAGCAGCCUGUAAAAUCGAGCUGCAGACGUAGAUAAGCAAGCUGGAAACUUGCACGUGUGAAUGCUGGCAGCUGUGCCUACAGGAAAAUGCUACCUGGGGGCCAAAAUGUCAUGUUCAACUUUUCUUCCCUUUUCUUUGUCAACCACAUGUACAGUAAGGAACAGACAACAUGGCGCCGGCCAGAUAGAGACUCCAUCUGCAUAAUAAAAGAUCAGGGUGGAAUGGCCAGCUUUUUCACGCACUAUGCAAACGUCACACCUGGCCCAACCAAUCGCUCAGGCCCUAUGUAAAUCAGACACCACUUUCUCAAUUUCGUCUGUAAAACCCCGCGCACCCCCACCCCGUGCUUUUCACCACAAAACCGGAAGAUCCACUCGGGAGCCUCUCUCUCUGCAGGAAAGAAAGCUCUUCUCUUCUCUUUCUUUCGCCUGUUUAACCUCCACUCUUAAACUCACUUCUUGUGUGUCUGUGUCUUCAAUUUUCCUGGCGUGAGACAAGAAACCUCGGGUAUUUGCCCCAGAUAGUGACGCCGCUUCAGCAGGACCUCAGCUUUGACUCUGAGUGAGAUGGGAGCCAUUGGAGAGCUCUGAGUCCAGCCGUGACCUGAUGUGAUUUGUAAAUGAUCCCUCAGGUUGCUGUGUUGAGAAGGGGGAGAGGGUGCAGGUGGGGGCAGGGGCAAAAACAGGGACCCCCGUUGGGAUAACCUGCUCUCUGAAGCUUUCCUGUCCCCUCCUCCCCUCAGGUGGAGCUGACCUCUUCCUCUGUUGUUCUUUAGGCUUCCACAACAUUUCCCAUAAUUUAAACACUGACCGUUUACUUGUCUGUCUUCCUCCAGGUCAAUAUAUCCACAACACCUGACCCAGAACAGGUGCUUGGCAAAGGCUUAGCACAGCACCUAGUACUCAGAUGCUCACCUGAUGCUUAUCCCAUGAGUGGAUGGAUGGAGGGAUGAGCUACAAAAACCUAAGGGCUCAGCAUCGAGGGCAGGGGCAGAGUGAGUAGUACCCUAAAACUCUUUCUUAAAGGCCUGAACCCUUAGGGAACUGAGCUGUGUCUAGAAGCGAGAAAAAGUGAAGAGAAGACUCGUGCAAAUGCUCAAGGCACCUUGGCCGGAAGUAGAGGGGAGACCAGACCCCACACUCCUCCAGAACCAGCAGGGUCUCCUGUCCCAGAAAGGAAUGACAGAUGGCAAGAGAUCUGUGGCCCCGGAGCAGUUCUCGGGGAGGUAGUGAGAUCCUCUAGGCUGACCACGUUGAAGUAACAAGAAAACAUUGGCCCUGAAGGGGCUCUGGGGGUGCAGCAAGGACAGUGUCAGAGUGAUGGAUGGUUUUCUGAGGACCAAAUCCUACCACGUGAUGUUGCACAAAGACCUCAGAACUAGGACAUAAAUCCUGGAAGAAGUUACAUAUUUAGGCCAGGUGGGGUGGUAAUCCUAGCAGCAUCUGAGGCAGGUGGAUUGUUUGGGCCCAGGAGUUUGAGACCAGCCUGAGCAAGAUGGUGAAACCCCAUCUCUACUAAAAAUACAAAAAUUGGCUGGGUACAGUGGCAUGAACCUGUCGUCCCAGCUACUCGGGAGGCUGAGGCCGGAGAAAUGCUUGAACCCUGGAGGUGGAGGUUGCAGUGAGCCGAGAUGGAACCACUGCACUCCAGCCUGGGCGACAGAGUGAAAUCCUGUCUCCAAAAAAUAAAGAAAGAAAGAAGUUACAUAUUUUUCCCCACCAGCCUAAUGGCAAAGGAACUCCAAAUCAGAAAUGGGGCACAGGUACAGAAAAACAAGAAAGUUGUUCUGCUUGCCCACUGGAGCUGUCCCGGCACUAAGCGAAGGCCUGCCAUGUGUGUCUAAGGCCUGGAGCCAGCCCAGAGGCUGCACCUGCAUCACUCAGCCCUCUCCCUGCUCGUCUCUGUGCCUCUUCAGUCCAAUGCUUCCUCCUUCCCAGGCGCCAUCUGUUCUGUAGUUUUCUCUCAACCUGGCUUCCUGGGAAGGGCUGCAGCCAUGUUUGAGGAGCCCAGUAAAACACCCCCAAGGGCUGUUGCCUUCUUCCUCCGGGCUAACUGAAUUCUUGCAGGGGCUGGGAAGAGGUGGUGGGAGGACAGGGCAGGCUGAUCUGGAGAGUCUGGCUUCCUGGGCCCCAGCCCAGCCCUCGGCAGAGCAAUGUGACCUGAUCCCACACUUGGCCAAGGCAGCUGCAGACAUUUGCAAAGUGACAAAAGGAGAGGAGGGACCUAAGAAGAAAACAGCAUUUGCACAGCACAUGGAAGUGCCUGGAAAUGUUUUCUGGACACAUUAUUCUUCUCUAGGGUGAUUUUCAAGGCCAACCAAGCCUGGAGACUAAAGCUUCCAGAGAUAUUUUUGCAUGUCUGGCACCCAUGGCUCCACCUGGACCUGAAGGCUCCUGUGACCCCACCCAGGAGUGACUCAGUUCAAGACAACAGCUUUGACCCCCUCUGAUUUCAUCUCCACUCCAACCAAUCAGCAGCAAUCACCCAUUGCCUGGCCACCCCCACCCUUUACCCAAACUGCCUUUGAGCCUUGGAGGAGAUUGGUUUGAGUGAUAACUCCGUCUCCUGUGUGGCGUGGCUGGCUACAAGUCAAUUAAAUUCUUUCCUUACUGC